GAUGAACGCUGGCGGCGUGCCUAACACAUGCAAGUCGAACGGUGAAGGCGGAGCUUGCUCUGCUGGAUCAGUGGCGAACGGGUGAGUAACACGUGAGCAAUCUGCCCCUGACUCUGGGAUAAGCGCUGGAAACGGCGUCUAAUACUGGAUACGAGCUGCGAAGGCAUCUUCAGCAGCUGGAAAGAAUUUCGGUCAGGGAUGAGCUCGCGGCCUAUCAGCUUGUUGGUGAGGUAAUGGCUCACCAAGGCGUCGACGGGUAGCCGGCCUGAGAGGGUGACCGGCCACACUGGGACUGAGACACGGCCCAGACUCCUACGGGAGGCAGCAGUGGGGAAUAUUGCACAAUGGGCGAAAGCCUGAUGCAGCAACGCCGCGUGAGGGACGACGGCCUUCGGGUUGUAAACCUCUUUUAGCAGGGAAGAAGCGAAAGUGACGGUACCUGCAGAAAAAGCGCCGGCUAACUACGUG
rnacentral:rRNA from 1 species